rnacentral:rRNA from 1 species
AUUGAACGCUGGCGGCAUGCUUUACACAUGCAAGUCGAACGGUAACAGGCCGCAAGGUGCUGACGAGUGGCGACCGGGUGCGUAAUGCAUCGGAACGUGCCCCGUCGUGGGGGAUAACUACUCGAAAGAGUAGCCAAUACCGCAUACGAUCUAUGGAUGAAAGCGGGGGACCGCAAGGCCUCGCGCGAUUGGAGCGGCCGAUGUCAGAUUAGGUAGUUGGUGGGGUAAAGGCUCACCAAGCCAACGAUCUGUAGCUGGUCUGAGAGGACGACCAGCCACACUGGAACUGAGACACGGCCCAGACUCCUACGGGAGGCAGCAGUGGGGAAUUUUGGACAAUGGGCGCAAGCCUGAUCCAGCAAUGCCGCGUGCAGGAAGAAGGCCUUCGGGUUGUAAACUGCUUUUGUACGGAACGAAACGGCGCUGGUUAAUACCCGGGGCUAAUGACGGUACCGUAAGAAUAAGCACCGGCUAACUACGUG